GUACCUCCAUUCUAUUUCCACUCUCAUCACAACCAACAAACUGAAGGCCUGCAUUUUCAAGCUCAGGAACAAAGGCAGGAUUGACCUAUUUUAAACAGGAAGAGAAAGAAUAAUCACUCCCUGGCAUAAGGUUAGAAGGUGCAAUAACAAUUGUGAUAAGGUGCGAAAGAUGGUCAACACAGAUGUGCAACAUAUUUCAACAGGAAAAGUGCUGUGGUGAAAAUAAGAAAAUUUCAAGUGAGUGUUUAAGAAAAGCUCCUAAAAGCAAGCAGUCGAAGAGAGUGAGUUUCAUGGUGGUGGCAGAGACCAGGGAUCAAUGGUCCAAACAAAGAACUCGUAUCUCCAAACAGCAUAUGUUAAGUGUUAAAUCCUUACAAUUUUGAUGUAAGACAAUCUUCUUUGCGAAAGAAUGUCCUCCGGCAACCCAACCUCAUGGUGUUUCCCAUAUGUGUUUUCGAAACCUGGCCAGUUAAUUAUCAAAGCUUGCAUUA